rnacentral:rRNA from 1 species
UACGAAGGGGGCUAGCGUUGCUCGGAAUCAUUGGGCGUAAAGCGCACGUAGGCGGUUCGUUAUGUCGGAUGUGAAAGCCCUUGGCUUAACCGAGGAAGUGCAUCCGAAACUGGCGAGCUAGAGUACGAAAGAGGAUCGCGGAAUUCCUGGUGUAGCGGUGAAAUGCGCAGAUAUCAGGAAGAACACCCGUGGCUAAGGCGGCUCUCUAGUACGGUACUGACGCUGAGACGCGAAAGCGUGGGGAGCGAACAGG